CAUCAUUCAUAUGCUCAUAUACAAAGCACUCGGCCCCCCACAUAUGCACUAAAAGGGGACGCUUAUAAAUUAUUUUUUAGCAGUGAUAAUGAUAUUUGUUUAGUUAUCAGCUGGUCAUUGGCCAGAUUUCUCUCAUAGUACUCAUCCCAACAAACGCCACACCAAAUAGCCCUUACAUUCCUAAUUUUAGAAUGGCAUCGCUAGUCCAUAGAUGUUGUUGACAAGUAUCUCGGAGUGUUGACAACCAGUGAAGUCAAACUUGGUGGUGGUUACACCAUCUUGUGCCGCACAUCUUCCUCAAGAAUAGUGGGUGCCGGAAAGUGCACUCACUCCUUGCAUUCCCGUUCUUCGCAAUUCUCGUAAUCAUCAUCGGCUAUGUGUAAGUCUCGCCAAAGGCUGAAGAAAGGUUGGCCCUUCUAGUAACAGAGAUGAGGAUUGAGAGAUUGUUGACUCAGGUCGGUUUUCUGGAGGGACAGGCACCAUUCAGUUCCGCCACCAUCGUAAUCAAGUGCAUUUCAGAGUGCUGGAUAAUGAAAGGGCGCGGCUGGCUGUGCAUUUCAGAGUGCUGGAUAAUGAAAGGGCACGGCUGGCGGCUCCUAUUGCACGUUGGAGGCAAUGUAGGAUGGUUUUCAAAAGAGGCUUUUCUGCCAUGGUGAAGACUGAAAGCUGUGUGCUUCACAGUUUCUUUAUGGAAAUGCAGAUGCUGCAACCCGGGGAAGAAAAGGUACGCUAGGCAUAUGGGAACUUAAUAAUGUACAAGCUAGCUAGCUGCUACGUUGUAC
rnacentral:lncRNA from 1 species